rnacentral:rRNA from 1 species
AGUGGAUGGCUCGGUUCGAGAGCUGAUGAAGGGCGUGCCAAGCAGCGAUAUGCUCCGGGAAGAUGCAGGGAGUCUGUGAUCCGGAGAUCCCCGAAUAGGACAUCCCGAUACUUCGGUAUCAAUCCGUUGAGGAUGGGGAACGCCCCGAAUUGAAACAUCUUAGUAGGGGCAGGAAAAGAAAUCAACCGAGAUGUCGUGAGUAGAGGCGAUCGAAACCGACAGAGUUCAAACCGAAUCCCUUUUGGGAGAUGUGGUGUUGUAAGCCUCCCGUCUGGUGCAGACAGCAGAAGCGGAAGUCACCUGGAAUGGUGUUCCUGAGAGGGUGAAAGACCCGUACGCAUAAUGGUGUCUGUUCCUGGGAGUGUCUUGAGUAGUGCGGGUCGGAAUUCUCGCAUGAAUCCGGGGGUCAUCAACCUCCAAAACUAAAUACUUCUCGAAACCGAUAGCGAACUAGUAGCGUGAGCGAAAGCUGAAAAGUAUCCCUAAAAAGGAUGUGAAAAGCGCCUGAAACUAACCGGUGACAGUGUGUUAUGGCAUGCAAGGAACUUCUGCGCGAAAGAACCCGUCGCGAGGCGGUAGUAUGGGCGACAGUUGCCGAUGUCAUAACGUACGUUUUGAAGAACGGGCCAGAGAGUUUAUUCUAUAGGCGAGGUUAACCUGACGGGAAGCCGAAGCGAAAGCAACAGGUUCGUAGCAUGUAUGUGCAUGGAACGACGUAUUCAACGUGCGUGGAGUCUAUAGGGUAAGACCCGAAACCCGGUGAUCUAUGCGUGGGCAGGUUGAAGCGUGCCGAAAGGUGCGUGGAGGACCGCAGGCGGUUUUGAUAUGCAAAUCAUUCGCGUGACCUGCGUAUAGGAGUGAAAGAUUCAUCGAACCGGGAAUCAGCUGGUUCCCCUCGAAACAUGCCGCAGCAUGACCUCGUCGGAGAUGGUUGGUGAGGUAGAGCACUGAUUGGGGAUCCCGGGGAAGAAAUUCCUCGCUCUCUUGUCAAACUCCAAACUCCCCAACGUCAGAGAUGACGGGCAGUCCGGACUACGGGGUAAGCUUGUAGUCCGUAAGGGAGACAACCCAGACCGUGGUUGAUGCCCCCCAAUGUAGGCUAAGUGUCAACACUGAAUGAGGUCCCAGGCCGAAGACAACUGGAAGGUGAGCUUAGAAGCAGCUACCCUUUAAAAAGUGCGUAACAGCUUACCAGUCAAGGUUUGGGGCGCAGAAAAUGGACGGGGCUAAAGCCUACUGCAGAGACCACGGCGCACCGGUUCAUCCGGUGAUCGCGUAGAGGGGCGUUCUGCAUGGACAGAAGCAGGGGCGUAAGGUCCUGUGGACCGUGCAGAAAUGAGAAUUCUGGCAGUAGUAGAAGCAUAGAACGGUGAGAAUCCGUUCCGCCGAAAGGGCUAGGUUUCCUCGGCAAUGUUCGUCAGCCGAGGGUUAGUCGGUCCUAAGAUGUGCCGUAACUCGAGCAUGUCAACAGGGAAACAGGUUAAUAUUCCUGUACCAUACAUUCAAAGUCGCAAGACCCUGACGCUUCGGGAUAUACCAUGCGAAACUGUCGUUUCGUUCAAGCGUUCAAAGUGGUGGAGUACCGUCAUGGUGAGAAACCACAGAAGACGUGAUGAGGUAACAUGGUCGACUCCUGGAGCCCGUGAAAAAGGGAGUGUAUGUCCGUACUGAGAACCGACACAGGUGCCCCUGGUUGAAAAGACCAAGGCGUAUCGGAGCUAAUUGUGGUAAGGGAACUCGGCAAAAUGGCCCCGUAACUUCGGGAGAAGGGGUGCCUGCCUGGAGAUCAGGCAGGUCGCAGUGACCAGGGAACUCCAACUGUCUAAUAACAACAUAGCAGACUGCAACUCGGAAACGACUCGUAUAGUCUGUGAAUCCUGCCCAGUGCGGGUAUCUGAACACCGAGUUCAAUCGGACGAAGGACCCGUAAACGGCGGGGGUAACUAUGACCCUCUUAAGGUAGCGUAGUACCUUGUCGCUUAAUUGGCGACUUGCAUGAAUGGAACAAUGAGAGUUCUACUGUCCCUACCACAAGUCCGUUGAACCUUUUAUCCUAGUGCAGAGGCUAGGGACUCCUGAUGGGAAGUGAAGACCCCGUGGAGCUUUACUGCAGCCUGUCGUUGUAGUACGGUAUUGCAUGCGCAGUGUAGAUGGGAGAUGUCGAUCCGUUCCUUCCGGGGAACGGGAAGUCAACAAUGAGACACCAUCCUUGCUCUGCUGUACUACUCACUCUUCUUCAAUGAAGAGGACAUCGGUAGGUGGGCAGUUUGGGUGGGGCGCCACACCCUCGAAAAAAUAUCAAGGGUGCCCUAAGGUCAACUCAUGUGAGUCAGAAACUCACAGAAGAGUGUCAAGAGCAUACGUUGGCCUGACGCUAUGACGCAAAGCAAGUCAUGGCGAGAGGAAACUCGGGUCUAACGAACCAAUACGCCCUGUUGAUGAGGGCUAUUGACUACAGAAAAGCUACCCCGGGGAUAAUAGAGUCGUCGCCGGCAAGAGCACAUAUCGACCCGGCGGCUUGCUACCUCGAUGUCGGUUCUUUCCAUCCUGGCUGUGCAGCAGCAGCCAAGGGUGAGGUUGUUCGCCUAUUAAAGGGGAUCGUGAGCUGGGUUUAGACCGUCGUGAGACAGGUCGGUUACUAUCUAUCAGGAGUGUCCGGAGUCUGAGGGCAAGAAAGAAAUAGUACGAGAGGAACUUUCUUUCGUCGCCACUGGUGUAUCGGUUGUCCGACAGGGCAGCGCCGAGCAGCUACGCGGCAAGAGAUAAAAGCUGAAAGCAUCUAAGCUUGAAACUCAGCCUGAAAAGAGACUCCGUUAAGGGCUCGGGUAAAAGACCCGGUUGAUAGGCCCGGGAUGUACGCACGAAGGCAACGACGUGUUGAGUCCGGCGGGUACUAA